rnacentral:misc_RNA from 1 species
UUGAUAUCCUAGAAACCAUUCUAAAAUACUACCCUCAGAGCUUUCUUGGAAAUUCAAAUUCCUGCAAAAAUUACCAUUUUUCCCUGUAAUCCUUCAAUUUUGUGUUUUAGAGGGUUUCGAUAGGCCCACCCAUGGGUGACUGGAAAAUGGAGGACACGUCUCUCCCAUCUCUAUUCGAGCAAGCUCGGACGAUCCAUUUAACGGCUAUGGGGUCCACUGCUGAUCAGGUUUGAUAGGAGAUGGUGAACAAGGGAUGCAAGGCACUGGAGAAAUGUGAGGAAAUGAUUAAUAAACUUGAGUUGUUCUCAACUAAUGAAAACAAGGAUGAUAGCAGCACUACCAAUCUUAAAUAUAUUCUGGUAGGGAUCUUUACUUGUAGGUUCCAUAUUAUCUUGCUGAGCUGACUGAAAAAAAUAGCACAGGAUGAUUGGAUACAAAUUCUUAAGGUAUUUCUCUGUAUCAUGUCAAGCCUUGUUGAGUGUCUUUUAUAAUAUAUAACUUCCAUGCUUAUGUAUAGAUUGCACUAUUCAAUAGCCAAAGAGCUGCUCAAGCAAAGCUGCUGGAAAUAAAGGAGCAGAAAGAAGAUGUAUUGGAUGACAAUGGAGAAGAAUAGGAGACUUGGCUUACUACAAUCGCUUUGGCCAUCUGUAAGGCAUUCGAUCUGCUCUAAACAUUAAAGGAGGAACAAAUGCUUUUGGCUAUGAAGUAAAGACAGCUAAAGGAAGGAGACGAAGAAUUUUCUCAAUCUAGUCUUGAUAAGCAGACAAAAAAAGCAGAAGCUUGGCAUCAUGAUGUUGCUACUCGAGCACAAUACACCAAGCCAGCACUACCUAUCACCUGUGCUACUUUUGCUCAAGAUGUUCUAGAAGGGAGAGUAAAUGUUUCACAGGCACAUGAUCACAAGCACCAGCCAAUGAUAUUUGGACCAGCUAGUCUUGUACGUGGAAGUCUAACAAGUGAAAGGAAUAGGAUUGCAGCGCAAAUAUUCCAACCUAGCCAUAGUUAUAUUUCCAUGACUGAUUUAUUAAUGUUUAUUGUACAUAGAAGAAAUGCUGGGUAUUGGUUAUCAUUUACUCAAGGUAUGCUAUGUUUGGUUGGAUGCAAGGAAAGUAAGAGGGAAAUGUUUCUGGCCUUUCUUCCCAUUUUAAUAUAAAUGGCAACUGGCAAAAUACAUUCUCUUGUUUCCAUUGUCCCACCCAAACAUAGCUACUUACCCUUCUUUCAUUGAGCAAGGAGAUUUUGUUUGUCCAAUUCCUCUUCAAUAUGAUUUCUUUUGCCUUGAUAGAUUCUUAUUUUGAUUUGCUAUGUUGAAUGUCCUGCAGAAGUUUGCCAACCAUGAGUAUAGAAGAAGCUGGGUUAAGGGAGAUGGAGAUUAUGAAUAAAUGGCAAGAGAGAAAUGCUAAACUCAUGGCAGAAGCAAACUCUGCAUGGUACAAGGACAAUCAGAAGGUACAAUCAGGUGAAGAAGAUGAUGAAGAUGAUGAUGCUGCUGUGCAGAAGGCAAGGGCAUGGGAUGACUGGAAAGAUGAUAAUCCUCGGGGUGCUGGUAAUAAGAAGCUCACGCCAUGUGGUUAAAGGUGGCCGAUGGUUUCUGUUUUCGUGGUGUAUUCUCUUAAACAUGGUUAUUUGUAUUCAUUUAAAUUUUUGCUUCAGAAAUGGUUUUACAAAAUUUUGGUUCAUUCUGUCUAUUCUAGUGUAACCUUGAUCCUUGAACAGUAAAUACUAUGAAUUAUAUUUUAGGAAAGUUGUUUCUGUGCUUACGUUUGCACAAGUGAGAGUUCUCAGCUGUUGGAUCGACAACAUUAGCUGGAUUGAUGGCUAAUAUCCCCGUGAGUAUCACCAGAUUGAUGGCUAUAUGAAGAUGUGAGGGAUCAUUUCUGUAUAUUUUGUUUCUAUACUUGGCCAAAACUUCACGUGGGUGCUGCUAGCUUUGGUUGUCCCAUGUCGCCUUGUCUCUAGCGGUACUCAAUUAUCGUAUGUGAAUGGUUCUAUCAUCUAUAUAAGGUAUUGGGAGCAAUCUCACCUAUUUAGUACUUUGUGGUUUAUUGCAUUCCAAGAUUAUCUUGUGCCAAAAGGGAAACUGGUCCUCUUAGGCUGAUGAAGGUUGACAAAUUGCUGCGGAAGAGUUGUAAUUCAAGAAAUGUUGUAUUGCGAGUUUUAGUUAAUACCCUUGAAGCACGUCUCGAGGAUCGAGAUUUCCCAUAUUUUUUAGUUGUAAGCAAAGUCGGAUCAUUAUGGAAUUCAUGACAAAUGCAUUAGCCAGG